ACAAGCCAGUAAAAUGUACAGCGUUCAAAUCACUUCCAGUGACCAUGUCCCGGACUCUGACCCACCUGAACAGGUCGUAGCCUGCAGCUUUAGCAGAGCCCCGGGUAGGAGCAGUGGCAUGUUCAGACAACUUGGAGAACUUCAGCACGGAUAUCACAUUCUCUGCAUGUGGCUUUGUCCUCUUCAGUGGAGAAACUUCUGCGGCGUCUAUCACUUCUGAGCAAGGCAUGUUCACAAAGUUUGUGGUAAGAAAGUUGAGUUAAUUCCGAAAUAAUAAAAUUGCUAUGGUUAGUUUACUAACGUUAGCUAAAUAGUUCAAAUAUGGCGAGUUGUUGCUCCUUCUCUGAAUCUUAUUCGGAAGCACACAUUCCCGCCAAUUUCAAUUGAAUCUGCCUCCCCGUAGUUGAAAAAAAGAAAAUCUCGCGAGAGUUCUGACAUCUUGACCAGCUGUGAGCUGAAUGACAGGAAAGCUUUAGUUUACUAAUCCUUGAAUGAUGCAUCUUGAUUUCGGUAAAACACUCGACUACAAAUCUGACAACAGUACAAUUACCGAGUGGGAGAAUGCAGAUAAAAUGUUCUGUGUGAGAGUACUGAAGACUGGGCAGCGAUAAUCGAAGAACACCGCCAGUAGAGCCUCUGCUUUGCAAAGAAGUGGUCCAUCUUGUUAAAGAUACAGUCCUCCCCGGCUGCGGCAUCCGCUACAGCGCCUUCAGAAAGAAUCUCCAAAUACUAUGUUGAAUGAGCACCGCGGAUGAGAGGGGAGG